UGGAGGCAACUCAAAUAUAUGAAUUUUGUGAUUAAUACAACUUGUGAUUCUUAGUAGUAGGUACAAGUAAUGAGAGGAAGAUAUUGUCUGCAAAAAUUAUCAUCAGGACCCCUAUUUAUUCAGUUUCCUCAAUCCAUGAAACCCAUGUAGGAGAAUUCUGGAGUGGGAUCAGGGCCCUUUUUGAAAAAGCUCUACAGAAGCUAAAAAUUUCAAAUCCAGGACUGGAUGGAAUAGUUGCAUUUGAAGGAGUUCACUCCACUGAUAUGAGCAAAGAUAUCUGAGGAAUCAACCAUAUCAUCUUCUUCUUUCACAACUACCUGCUAAGUUCAAAAGAUAAAAUUAAAGGCGUGUUUGUUAGAUUGUGGAAUCAUGCCAACAAACCAAUAAUUCAGAAAAGGUCUCUGAGCAUCUCCAAAGUCAUCAUUCUUUGCAAACCUUCCUCGAACUCGCGGCCGGCUAUCUGCCAGAGUUUUGCGGCAGGCAUAC